CAGCAGCCGCGGUAAUACGAAGGGUGCAAGCGUUACUCGGAAUUACUGGGCGUAAAGCGUGCGUAGGUGGUGGUUUAAGUCCGUUGUGAAAGCCCUGAGCUCAACCUGGGAAUUGCAGUGGAUACUGGGUCACUAGAGUGUGGUAGAGGAUAGUGGAAUUUCCGGUGUAGCAGUGAAAUGCGUAGAGAUCGGAAGGAACAUCUGUGGCGAAGGCGACUAUCUGGGCCAACACUGACACUGAGGCACGAAAGCGUGGGGAGCAAACAGGAUUAGAUACCCCCGUAGUCCCUGUCUCUUAUAA
rnacentral:rRNA from 1 species